GUGGGGAAUCUUCCGCAAUGGACGAAAGUCUGACGGAGCAACGCCGCGUGAGUGAUGAAGGUCUUCGGAUUGUAAAGCUCUGUUAAUCGGGGCGAAAGAGCCUAGUGUGAAUAAUGCUAGGAAGUGACGGUACCGGAAUAGAAAGCCACGGCUAACUACGUGCCAGCAGCCGCGGUAAUACGUAGGUGGCAAGCGUUGUCCGGAAUUAUUGGGCGUAAAGCGCGCGCAGGCGGAUCUGCCAGUCUGUCUUAAAAGUUCGGGGCUUAACCCCGUGAUGGGAUGGAAACUACAGAUCUAGAGUAUCGGAGAGGAAAGUGGAAUUCCUAGUGUAGCGGUGAAAUGCGUAGAUAUUAGGAAGAACACCAGUGGCGAAGGCGACUUUCUGGACGAAAACUGACGCUGAGGCGCGAAAGCCAGGGGAGCGAACGGGAUUAGAUACCCCAGUAGUCC
rnacentral:rRNA from 1 species